AUCAACUUUCGAUGGUAGGAUAGAGGCCUACCAUGGUGGUAACGGGUAACGGGGUGUUAGGGCACGACACCGGAGAGGGAGCCUGAGAAACGGCUACCACAUCCAAGGAUGGCAGCAGGCGCGCAAAUUACCCAAUCCCGACACGGGGAGGUAGUGACAAUAAAUAACAAUACGGGGUUCUUUUGGAUUUCGUAAUUGGAAUGAGUACAAUUUAAAUCUCUUAACGAGGAACAAUUGGAGGGCAAGUCUGGUGCCAGCAGCCGCGGUAAUUCCAGCUCCAAUAGCGUAUAUUAAAGUUGUUGCAGUUAAAAAGCUCGUAGUUGAAUUUCGGGGUUAGUAGGCUGGUCAUGCCACAGGUAUGCACUGGUCUUACUGAUUCCUCCUUCCUGAUGAACCGUAAUGCCAUUAAUUUGGUGUUGCGGGGAGUCUGGACUGUUACUUUGAAAAAAUUAGAGUGUUUAAAGCAGGCUAACGCUUGAAUACAUUAGCAUGGAAUAACGAAAUAGGACGUUCGAUCUUAUUUUGUUGGUUUCUAGGAUUGACGUAAUGAUUAAUAGGGAUAGUUGGGGGCAUUAGUAUUCAAUUGUCAGAGGUGAAAUUCUUGGAUUUAUUGAAGACUAACUACUGCGAAAGCAUUUGCCAAGGAUGUUUUCAUUAAUCAAGAACGAAAGUUAGGGGAUCGAAGACGAUCAGAUACCGUCGUAGUCUUAACCAUAAACUAUGCCGACUAGGGAUCGGAUGAUGUUAAUUUUAUAAUGACUCAUUCGGCGCCUUACGGGAAACCAAAGUGUUUGGGUUC
rnacentral:rRNA from 1 species